rnacentral:lncRNA from 1 species
GGGAUCCGCUGACUGAGUUUCCCUUAUUCUCUGGAUUAACUCAGGUUGAACGGUUAGAUGGCCCAAACAUAUUACUCUCAUCGAGUCCUGAAGCCAAACCUGUUGUGUGACCCUAAUUUGCCUGCAUUCUGAAACCAUCAAAUUGGCUAAUAUACCUGCACUUUUUCUGCUGAGUGCAUCGGCUACCACGUUGCCCUUACUCGGAU